rnacentral:rRNA from 1 species
GUGGGGAAUUUUGGACAAUGGGCGAAAGCCUGAUCCAGCCAUGCCGCGUGCAGGAUGAAGGCCUUCGGGUUGUAAACUGCUUUUGUACGGAACGAAAAGACUCCUUCUAAUAAAGGGGGUCCAUGACGGUACCGUAAGAAUAAGCACCGGCUAACUACGUGCCAGCAGCCGCGGUAAUACGUAGGGUGCAAGCGUUAAUCGGAAUUACUGGGCGUAAAGCGUGCGCAGGCGGUUAUAUAAGACAGAUGUGAAAUCCCCGGGCUCAACCUGGGAACUGAAUUUGUGACUGUAUAGCUAGAGUACGGGAGAGGGGGAUGGAAUUCCGCGGGUAGCAGUGAAAUGCGUAGAUAUGCGGAGGAACACCGAUGGCGAAGGCAAUCCCCUGGACCUGUACCGACGCUCAUGCACGAAAGCGUGGGGAGCAAACAGGAUUAGAAACCCGGGUAGUCC